UACGGGGGGGGCAAGCGUUGUUCGGAAUUACUGGGCGUAAAGGGCUCGUAGGCGGCCAACUAAGUCAGACGUGAAAUCCCUCGGCUUAACCGGGGAACUGCGUCUGAUACUGGAUGGCUUGAGGUUGGGAGAGGGAUGCGGAAUUCCAGGUGUAGCGGUGAAAUGCGUAGAUAUCUGGAGGAAUACCGAUGGCGAAGGCAGCCCCCUGGGCCAAUACUGACGCUCAUGCACGAAAGCGUGGGGAGCAAACAGG
rnacentral:rRNA from 1 species